rnacentral:rRNA from 1 species
CCUACGGGUGGCAGCAGUCGGGAAUAUUGCGCAAUGGAGGAAACUCUGACGCAGUGACGCCGCGUGCAGGAAGAAGGUUUUCGGAUUGUAAACUGCUUUAGACAGGGAAGAAAAAAGACAGUACCUGUAGACUAAGCUCCGGCUAACUACGUGCCAGCAGCCGCGGUAAUACGUAGGGAGCAAGCGUUAUCCGGAUUUAUUGGGUGUAACGGGUGCGUAGACGGAGAAGCAAGUUAGUUGUGAAAUCCCUCGGCUUAACUGAGGAACUGCAACUAAAACUACUUCCCUUGAGUACUGGAGAGGAAAGUGGAAUUCCUAGUGUAGCGGUGAAAUGCGUAGAUAUAUGGAAGAACACCAGUGGCGAAGGCGGCUGUCUGGUCUGCAACUGACGCUGAGGCUCGAAAGCAUGGGUAGCGAACAGGAUUAGAUACCCUAGUAGUC